rnacentral:rRNA from 1 species
GGCUCAGGAUGAACGCUGGCGGUAUGCUUAACACAUGCAAGUCGAACGGAAUGCUUAGGCAUUUAGUGGCGGACGGGUGAGUAACGCGUGAGAAUUUGGCUUCAGGUCGGGGACAACAGUUGGAAACGACUGCUAAUACCGGAUAUGCCGGAAGGUGAAAGAUUUAUUGCCUGAAGAUAAGCUCGCGUCUGAUUAGCUAGUUGGUGGGGUAAGAGCCUACCAAGACGACGAUCAGUAGCUGGUCUGAGAGGAUGAUCAGCCACACUUGGACUGAGACACGGCCCAGACUCCUACGGGAGGCAGCAGUGGGGAAUUUUCCGCAAUGGGCGAAAGCCUGACGGAGCAAUACCGCGUGAGGGAGGAAGGCUCUUGGGUCGUAAACCUCUUUUCUCAGGGAAGAAAAAAAUGACGGUACCUGAGGAAUAAGCAUCGGCUAACUCCGUGCCAGCAGCCGCGGUAAUACGGAGGAUGCAAGCGUUAUCCGGAAUGAUUGGGCGUAAAGGGUCUGUAGGUGGUGCUGUAAGUCUGCUGUUAAAGAGUCACGCUCAACGUGAUAAAAGCGGUGGAAACUACAGGACUAGAGUGCGGUCGGGGCAGAAGGAAUUCCUGGUGUAGCGGUGAAAUGCGUAGAUAUCAGGAAGAACACCGGUGGCGAAAGCGUUCUGCUAGUCCGCAACUGACACUGAGGGACGAAAGCUAGGGGAGCGAAUGGGAUUAGAUACCCCAGUAGUCCUAGCCGUAAACGAUGGAUACUAGGCGUGGCUUGUAUCGACCCGAGCCGUGCCGGAGCUAACGCGUUAAGUAUCCCGCCUGGGGAGUACGCACGNCAGUGUAAAACUCAA